UACGUAGGGUGCGAGCGUUUGCCGGAAUUAUUGGGCGUAAAGAGCUCGUAGGUGGUUUGUCGCGUCUGCUGUGAAAACUCAGGGCUUAACCCUGAGCUUGCAGUGGGUACGGGCAGACUAGAGUGCGGUAGGGGAGACUGGAAUUCCUGGUGUAGCGGUGAAAUGCGCAGAUAUCAGGAGGAACACCCGGUGGCGAAGGCGGGGUCUCUG
rnacentral:rRNA from 1 species